rnacentral:rRNA from 1 species
UACAGAGGUCUCAAGCGUUGUUCGGAUUCAUUGGGCGUAAAGGGUGCGUAGGUGGCGCUGUAAGUCGGGUGUGAAAUUUCGGAGCUUAACUCCGAAACUGCAUUCGAUACUGCGGUGCUUGAGGACUGGAGAGGAGACUGGAGUUCAUGGUGUAGCAGUGAAAUGCGUAGAGAUCAUGAGGAAGACCAGUGGCGAAGGCGGGUCUCUGGACAGUUCCUGACACUGAGGCACGAAGGCCAGGGGAGCAAACGGG